rnacentral:rRNA from 1 species
AAACUCUGUUGUCAGGGAAGAAACACGUGCUGUUCGAAGAGGGCAGCACCUUGACGGUACCUGACCAGAAAGCCCCGGCUAACUACGUGCCAGCAGCCGCGGUAAUACAUUAGGGGGCAAGCGUUGUCCGGAAUUAUUGGGCGUAAAGCGCGCGCAGGCGGUCCUUUAAGUCUGAUGUGAAAACCCGCGGCUCAACCGCCCGCGGUCAUUGGAAACUGGAGGACUUGAGUGCAGAAGAGGAGAGUGGAAUUCCACGUGUAGCGGUGAAAUGCGUAGAGAUGUGGAGGAACACCAGUGGCGAAGGCGACUCUCUGGUCUGUAACUGACGCUGAGGUGCGAAAGCAUGGGUAGCGAACAGGAUUAGAAUACCCUGGUAGUCCCAUGCCGUAAACGAUGAGUGCUAGGUGUUAGGGGGUUUCCACCCCUUAGUGCUGAAGUUAACGCAAUAAGCACUCCGCCUGGGGAGUACGGCCGCAAGGCUGAAACUCAAAAGAAUUGACGGGGGCCCGCACAAGCGGUGGAGCAUGUGGUUUAAUUUCGAAGCAACGCGAAGAACCUUACCAGGUCUUGACAUCCUCUGAUGGCGGGCUUAGAGACAGUACCGUGUUCCCUUCGGGGACAGAGUGACAGGUGGUGCAUGGUUGUCGUCAGAGCUCGUGUCGUGAGAUGUUGGGUUAAGUCCCGUAACAUGAGCGCAACCCUUGAUCUUAUGUUCCACGCCAGCAUUCAGUUGGGCACUCUAAGGUGACUGCCGGUGACAAACCGGAGGAAGGCGGGGACGUGACGUCAAAUCCCAAUCAUGCCCCAUUAUGACCCUCAGGUGGGCUACACAUCGUGGCCACAAUGGAUGGCCGUUACCUAAACAAAGGGCCGCGAAGCCGCAAGGCCAAGCCAUCAGCGAUCCCAUAAAACCAUUCCCAGUUCGGUUAUGCCAUUGCAGGCAUGCAACUCGCCAUGCUGUAUGAAGCCGGAAUCGCUAGUAAUCGCGGGUGUUAUCAGCAUGCCGCUGGUGAAUACGUUCCCGGGCACUUGUUACACACCCGCCCGUCACACCUCUUACGAGAGUUGAGUGCAAGCACCCGAAGUCGAGUGUGAGGUAACGCUUUCAGG